GUUUUCUAGUGGACAGUUUGUAGGUGUACACCGCCACCUGCUGGAUUAAUCUCGUGCUGGACCUCCAUCAGCAGAGGUCGCUGUUCCGCGCAGCUUCCAUUACUGUUUCCCGCCUCAACAGUCAGUCAACCUACUUGCUUCCACCUCGUAAGAGGGUCACUUUUCCAUGUUUAUUGCAGUAGUUCUCCUGCACAUUUGCACAAAGCUGUAUGCAUAGGUGGUUCUACUGGAACCAACAGGAGCCAUAACAGUACUGGCCCCUGCUAUUGCCCCUGUACUGAUGAGAUAAUAUUAAAUCAGUUUCUAAUAAUGAUAGGUGCUGACAUAGAAAAUGUAAUCUUGGACCAAUUAUAUUUUUUCCCUUCGCAGUUUUACUUUCACAAAUGACUAAAAAUGAAGGUGUUGUACUGAUAUUGAAACAAGAUCAGAGUUUUCAAUCUACAGCUGCAAUUGGCUCUUUGGCCCUUUGCCUCACUUAAUAUAUUAAACGAUGAAACAUUC